rnacentral:misc_RNA from 1 species
CAAGGGUCAGCACGGCAGGGAGGAGAGCGCCGACGCUGGUGAGGGAGUCCGUGCCAGCGAGAGUGGCGCCAGGGCAGGGGUCGCGGGUGUAGAGGAGUCUGCCAUGAGGGGGAGGAACGGCGGUGCGGUGGAGGUGCUACGGAACUGGGAGGGAGGCGAGGAGUCGCGGCAUCCUGGGCGGUCGAGGAAGCAGGCGACGCAUCUCCCUAGGCGGUCGGGGAAGCAGGCAGGUGCUGGGAAUGCGAGGCUUGACGUUGUUGGCGAGGUAGAACUUGGGUGCGGUGGCAACGGCCGACUGGCUUCUCGGUCUUGGGGAAGGCAUCGCCAGUCUUGGCCUUGAUGACCCAGAGCCCACGACGGUGUUACGUGUGCGACUGUG